rnacentral:rRNA from 1 species
GCAAGUCGAACGGUGAAGCCUUUCGGGGUGGAUCAGUGGCGAACGGGUGAGUAACACGUGGGCAAUCUGCCCUGCACUCUGGGACAAGCCCUGGAAACGGGGUCUAAUACCGGAUAUGACCUGGGGGCGCAUGCUUCUGGGUGGAAAGCUCCGGCGGUGCAGGAUGAGCCCGCGGCCUAUCAGCUUGUUGGUGGGGUGAUGGCCUACCAAGGCGACGACGGGUAGCCGGCCUGAGAGGGCGACCGGCCACACUGGGACUGAGACACGGCCCAGACUCCUACGGGAGGCAGCAGUGGGGAAUAUUGCACAAUGGGCGCAAGCCUGAUGCAGCGACGCCGCGUGAGGGAUGACGGCCUUCGGGUUGUAAACCUCUUUCAGCAGGGAAGAAGCGUAAGUGACGGUACCUGCAGAAGAAGCACCGGCUAACUACGUGCCAGCAGCCGCGGUAAUACGUAGGGUGCGAGCGUUGUCCGGAAUUAUUGGGCGUAAAGAGCUCGUAGGCGGCUUGUCGCGUCGGAUGUGAAAGCCCGGGGCUUAACUCCGGGUCUGCAUUCGAUACGGGCAGGCUAGAGUUCGGUAGGGGAGAUCGGAAUUCCUGGUGUAGCGGUGAAAUGCGCAGAUAUCAGGAGGAACACCGGUGGCGAAGGCGGAUCUUCUGGGCCGAUACUGACGCUGAGGAGCGAAAGCGUGGGGAGCG